rnacentral:rRNA from 1 species
UACGUAGGGUCCAAGCGUUAAUCGGAAUUACUGGGCGUAAAGCGUGCGCAGGCGGUUCUGAAAGUCAGCUGUGAAAGCCCCGGGCUUAACCUGGGAAUGGCGGUUGAAACUACAGGACUAGAAUCUGGCAGAGGGGGGUGGAAUUCCACGUGUAGCAGUGAAAUGCGUAGAGAUGUGGAGGAACACCGAUGGCGAAGGCAGCCCCCUGGGCUGAGAUUGACGCUCAGGCACGAAAGCGUGGGGAGCAACCAGG